rnacentral:rRNA from 1 species
UCAACCUCCCUUCAGAGGGGGACAACAGUUGGAAACGACUGUUAAUACCGCAUACGAUCUAACCUCGGCAUCGAGGAAAGAUGAAAGGUGGCCUCUACAUGUAAGCUAUCACUGAAGGAGGGGAUUGCGUUGAUUAGCUAGUUGGAGGGGUAACGGCCCACCAAGGCGAUGAUCAGUAGCCGGUUGAGAGGAUGAACGGCCACAUUGGGAUUGAGACACGGCCCAGACUCCUACGGGAGGCAGCAGUGGGGAAUCUUCCGCAAUGGACGAAAGUCUGACGGAGCAACGCCGCGUGAGUGAUGACGGCCUUCGGGUUGUAAAGCUCUGUUAAUCGGGACGAAAGGCCUUCUUGCGAAUAGUGAGAAGGAUUGACGUACCGGAAUAGAAAAGCC